UCCAGACUCCUACGGGAGGCAGCAGUGGGGAAUAUUGCACAAUGGGCGAAAGCCUGAUGCAGCGACGCCGCGUGAGUGAAGAAGUAUUUCGGUAUGUAAAGCUCUAUCAGCAGGGAAGAAAAUGACGGUACCUGACUAAGAAGCCCCGGCUAACUACGUGCCAGCAGCCGCGGUAAUACGUAGGGGGCAAGCGUUAUCCGGAUUUACUGGGUGUAAAGGGAGCGUAGGUGGCAUGGUAAGCCAGAAGUGAAAACCCAGGGCUCAACUCUGUGGAUUGCUUUUGGAACUAGCAAGCUAGAGUGCUGGAGGGGUAAGCGGAAUUCCUAGUGUAGCGGUGAAAUGCGUAGAUAUUAGGAGGAACGCCGGUGGCGAAGGCGGCUUACUGGACAGAAACUGACACUGAGGCUCGAAAGCGUGGGGAGCAAACAGGAUUAGAUACCCUGGUA
rnacentral:rRNA from 1 species